UAUUUAUUAACUUUGUGGUGGUAUUUUUUUUAAAUAAAAUAGCAGUUUAAAUCAUUCUGUGGUUUCAUAAUAUAAGAAUAAAUCCCCAAAUAUAUGACUUAUCUGACAUCUUUGGUUGAAUGCUACAUGCUGAUACAGAUAUUCUUCUAAUAACAUCACUGUACUUCAGCUUACUGGUAUUUAUUAACACGAACUCCGCACACAAUUCUCGGUGAAAUGAUUAAAUGACAGUUUUAAUUCAGACAUUUUUUUUCUUUUAAUGGAAUUCUUUAAGAACAAAAAUGUUAAAUUACUCUCUUCGGCGCUUGAGCCGAGGUCGAAAGGGUCAUUGUACAGUACAGUAUCGUCUUUUUCACAAUAUUUCACAGUAUUUACAUUCACUUCAAGGUCACAUGUGCUCUUCACCGCAAACCUACAGCGCUCUCUGGUGGUGAUGAGUCUAUACACCUCCAUACAACUCCUGUUUCAUAGUGACCAUGGAGAAACACUAGGAACCGGUCCAGUCCAAUUCCAGGUACAAAAUGGUAAUGUCGAGAUUAAGAGAAAACACACUGUUAACUGUACACUGGUUCAAGUCAGUUCAGUAUAUUCACAGAACAAAAACAAACAAACAAACAAAAAAAAACACCCAAAAAACAAUCUAUCACAAAAGAACUGCAAGCUGAGAAAAUAGCUGUAAUGGAAAAAUGAAAAGAAAAAAAAAAAAAACAAUAAUAAAAUAUUUAAAUAAAUCUAAACACUGACUGAUGCAAUGAGUUACAUUAAAGAUUUUUAACACUAGUGCUACUUCAUAUGCAUAUUUUAAAAAACAUGGCCCUUCACUUUCAAGUUGGUUUGUACAUUUUUACUGUGUGUGUGUGUGUAUAAAUCUUUUCAGAUGUGCCUAAAAAGACCAAAAUUUAAGUACUGGCUUUUUUUCAUCCCUCUCAGAAAUCUCAGUACCAAAUGGUAACUCUCCUUGUCGCCAGGCUGGUACCAUUUAGUGUGUGGACCUUUGAUUCGCUUUUAAAGCUUUAAAAAGGCUCACAAAUGCUCCUUAAGGUCCGGUUACAUGCCUUAAACGAACAUGCAAAAGAUGUCCUUGAUAGUGCAAUGCUUGCGCCAAAGAAAAGUACCUUUUUGGUACCUUUAUUCCAGAAUGACCGUUAGCAUCCGUUUGUGUUUGGGGUUUUUUUGGGGUUUUUUUGUGCUAGAUUAUUUUCUUUCUGGGACCACCUUAAUGAGCAACAUUCACAUAUAUACACCUACAGAGAACAUUAGUGCAUUUCAUUACAGCAGCCACGCUCUCAAAUAAAAAGGCAGCAAAAGGUAUGGUACUUUUACGCUGGUCUGGUGUGGUACCGUUAAGGGUACAUCGUUCGUUUGUAUCUAUAUUAUCUCUCUUUUCACCUUUAAAAAUACCGGAAGGUAUAAAAUCGGACGUUGUACAUUUACGCUAAAAGCGGAUUAAUUGUAAAAGACACGCACUAAAUGGUACUUCAGUGACAAUGAUCAAAGUCAGUUCAGUACCUUUACUUCUGAGAGUGCAGAAAAAAAAGAAAGAAAUUUGCAGACUCACAAGCAGCAGCACUCAUAACCAUGUCUCCAAAAAAACAAAACAAAACAAAACAAAAAAAAAACCCUAAGAAAUCCUAGGAAGUUUUCAUAAAAACACUUAAAAUUGGAAUAAAUAAUAGACGAAAGAGAAGAAAGGAGAAGUCAAAGCCAGGACAAACUCAGCAUGGUGACAUCAGAUCAUUUAGGAUCAUUAGUGACACAGUGGCUACAAAAUUAUUCAUGGUGUUUCUGAAGUGCCUCUUGGCUCCAGUUAUUGCCCGCAGGUUCGCCUGAUUCAUUAUUAACCAGCGUCGUCAACCAUUAAUGCACCUGCACCUGAGCGGCGGGGACGCAGGAUAACGCACGGCUACAUCUAGCUCAUCGACCUCGGAAAUCAAUCUAUUUUUACUUUGGUGUGAAAAUGCCACCUGGUUUGAGAAUAGGAUCAGGAUUCGCACUUUGGUGAGGAAGAGAUUCUAGUUGGAGAAAAUGUCAAAAGCAAAGCAAGAGAUGCAAAGGUCAAACAAAUGACAUGAGGUUAAAUUAGAGCAAUACCCCAUCAUUAACAUGACUUAAUAUCUUAAAAUAUAAAAGUUAUUACAUCUAAAUAAUAUUUUAAGUUAAAAUAAUUUUAAAAAUUUUACGUUGAAAUAAGAUCUUAAAUUGAAAUAAUGACGUCCUGUAAUAAGGUUCAAACAAAAUGUAUCUAGAUAUUGGCUAUUAAAUUGAAAUAUUUGUCGUUACGACAACUUAAGUCGUUAUUUUAAGAUCUUACUUUCAACAUAAUUAAAAGUCAAGCUAUGGCCUUAUUUUGACGUAAUGUCUCAUUAUUGUGAAUUCAUAUUUUCCAAGUCGAAAUAACGAUUAAUAAGUUGAAAUCACAACCUAGCUUGAAAAUAAAUUACGUUGAAAUAAUGGCACAAUAUCUUGAAAUGAGUUAUUAAAGCAAUAAUGAGAUGUCAUUAUUUCAACUUAACUCGUUAUUUCAAGAUAUGAUUAUUUUGAUUUAAUGCAAGAUUUCAAGAUGUUAUCUCUACGUGAUGUACGUCAAAAUAACACAGCUUGAAGAUCUUAAGAGCUCGUUCUUUUGACAACUCUACUUCAAGGUACGUCAUUAUUUUGAUGUAAUCUCAUUUUUUAAAAACUCAUUACUCUAAGAUACGUCCUCAUUCCAACUUAAGAUCUCAUUACUUCAUGAGAGGAGAUGUCGUUAUUUUGACUUGGUAUUGUAUUAUUUCAAUAUAAUGUUGCAAUUCUGUCUGUGUCGUAUUAUUUUUAUUCUCAUAACACUUAAAAUGGACAGAACGAUCAUAUCACAGCGCUCGUUUUGUUCGUUCGAAUUUGACUCGUUCGUACCUGAACGCAUUUUAAUGAAUUAAUAAUCACUAGCCAUAACAAAUGUGUGAACUGAAUUUCCACUAAAGCAGCGCCUGGCUACUGACUAUCAGGGAAACAGUUUACAAAAUAAUAACCGUAAGCUAAUACACAAUAAAUUAAUUUUUAUUGUUAGAUUGUGAAAUGUUAAAUAUUAAGCCAGAAUAACAAGAUAUGUUUAAAAAAAAAACUAGACAACUCAAAACAACAACUUUAUAAGAAAUACGGCAUAUCUCUAUUAACAGUAAAGCUUUUGUUCCAAACAGAGGACAAGCUAAAGGACGUGGCUUAGUAAGGUGCUUUGGGCCACCACGAGCCACCAGUACAACAUGAGUACACCUUGAAAACUAUUUUACACCUCUUUGGAACUGGAUUGAAGCGAUGAACACCAGAAGACAUUCUCUGAAGUGGUUUUUUGAUGAUGAUGGUGCUGGAGAGCGCUGUCUAACUUCUCCCCUCAUACUGUAAGUGUCCGAUUUUGUUGAGAUUUGAUAAGUGUGAAGGCCAUAGCAUACGAGUUAUAUCAGUUUUGUCCUCACUGAUAGAUUUAUUGAGCUGUUGUGCUCUGUGAGUGGGGGCGGAGUCAAGUUGGAAGAGACCACGCCUCUAUUCAGGAUUGAAACGUAGACGAUCACUCGUGAUAACUCUGCAGUGACACUUCACUCGAACGGGACGAGUGGAACCAAAAGAUUGGCAGCAAAAUAUAUAAUCCUAACCUUGUGGCCCAGGUUUUUUUUCCCCUUUCGUUUGUCACCUGUCUGCUGUGAUCAUUAAUAAUAUGCACUUCAUUAGUGUAAAGGUUAUACCUGAAUCUAUUGCUUCAAGAUCUAAUGUGUGAGGAACUCGAGCCACACAAAGCCUUAACAUCUGCUGGAUCAAAUUAUGCAACGAGCUUAAAUAACCUCCAGCACCUUUUUUCUUUCAGGAAUUGGUUGAACAGAUUGACGAUUUUUUUUUUUUUAGUCAUUAGAAAAAAAAUUCCCAGUCAAGCUUCUGGGACUUUGGUUGCCCGGUAUGUCCCUCGGCAGGUAAUGCGAGGGCAAAUGGAGGAGGCGGAGGCCGGGGCUGAGAUUUUUCCAUCACCUGCGCUGAGUGGAAAAUUCAACAGAGUUACUCGUUACCAUAAAAGCUUAAAAGGCAGAGAAAAAAAACCCUGGUCCCCAGAAAGAGGAGGACGAUUGGCCCCGGUGGCCUUAACCUCUCAGGAAUGUCUGGAGUGCAAAAAAAAAAGAAGAAAAAAAAAGAAAAGUCAAAAAACUCAUGCUUAACCAAGCAUAGGAUUCCAGACUACCACAUAUGCUGCUUCAGGUCUGAAAACUAAUUUCUGAUUACAAUUUUUUUGGACAGCAGAAACUUUUCUCUCUCUCUUGCUUGCUCUUAUAUAUAUAUAUAUAUAU
ensembl:lncRNA